CUCGACUUCGGAAGGGGUGUAUUUAUUAGAUAAAAAACCAAUGCCCUUCGGGGCUCCUUGGUGAUUCAUAGUAACUUAACGAAUCGCAUGGCCUUGCGCCGGCGAUGGUUCAUUCAAAUUUCUGCCCUAUCAACUUUCGAUGGUAAGGUAGUGGCUUACCAUGGUCUCAACGGGUAACGGGGAAUUAGGGUUCUAUUCCGGAGAGGGAGCCUGAGAAACGUAAGUUCCUACCCCUCUCCUCUUUUGUCGUUUAUGUUCCCCUGGGAAUUGUCACCGAUGGCUUCAUAUUGUUAGCUUAUCUUAUGAUAUUCUUAACUAAAUAUGUGCUCCGAUGACAAUGUCUUAAGGGGUGGUGAUAUCCUUGAACAUUUUCACCAAUUUUUUGAAAUUUUACUAAUUCUUUUUUUAGGGCUACCACAUCCAAGGAAGGCAGCAGGCGCGCAAAUUACCCAAUCCCAAUACGGGGAGGUAGUGACAAUAAAUACUGAUACGGGGCUCUUUCGGGUCUCGUAAUUGGAAUGAGUACAAUCUAAAUCCCUUAACGAGGAACAAUUGGAGGGCAAGUCUGGUGCCAGCAGCCGCGGUAAUUCCAGCUCCAAUAGCGUAUAUUAAAGUUGUUGCCGUUAAAAAGCUCGUAGUUGAACCUUGGACCUGGCUGAUCUGUCCUCCUAAUCGAGCGUACGGAUUCGGCCGGGUCUUUUCUUCUGGGGAGCCUUAUGCCCUUUACUGGGUGUAAUGGGGAACCAGGACUUUUACCUUGAAAAAAAUUAGAGUGUUCAAAGCAGGCCUUUGCUCGAAUACAUUAGCAUGGAAUAAUAGAAUAGGACAUCGGUUCUAUUUUGUUGGUUUCUAGGACCGCUGUAAUGAUUAAUAGGGAUAGUCGGGGGCGUCCGUAUUCAAUUGUCAGAGGUGAAAUUCUUGNNNNNNNNNNNNNNNNNNNNNNNNNNNNNNNNNNNNNNNNNNNNNNNNNNUUAAAGGAAUUGACGGAAGGGCACCACCAGGAGUGGAGCCUGCGGCUUAAUUUGACUCAACACGGGGAAACUCACCAGGUCCAGACACAAUAAGGAUUGACAGAUUGAGAGCUCUUUCUUGAUUUUGUGGGUGGUGGUGCAUGGCCGUUCUUAGUUGGUGGAGUGAUUUGUCUGCUUAAUUGCGAUAACGAACGAGACCUUAACCURCUAAAUAGUGCUGCUAGCUUUUGCUGGUAUAGUCACUUCUUAGAGGGACUAUCGAUUUCAAGUCGAUGGAAGUUUGAGGCAAUAACAGGUCUGUGAUGCCCUUAGACGUUCUGGGCCGCACGCGCGCUACACUGACGRAGCCAACGAGUAUUAACCUKGGCCGAGAGGUCUGGGAAAUCUKGUGAAACUCCGUCGUGCUGGGRAUAGAGCAUUGUAAUUAUKGCUCUUCAMCNAGGAAUUCCUAGUAAGCGCAAGUCAUCAGCUUGCGUUGAUUACGUCCCUGCCCUUUGUACACACCGCCCGUCGCUACUACCGAUUGAAUGGCUUAGUGAGGCCUCCGRAUKGGUUUAAAGAACGGGGCAACUCCAUCUUGGAACCGAAAAGCUG
rnacentral:rRNA from 1 species